rnacentral:RNase_P_RNA from 1 species
CCAGGCCGCCGGGCGGUCGCGGUGUUGCUCGACAACUGCCGGGCGGCAUCGAGGAAAGUCCGGGCUCCGCGGGACAGGGCGCUGGGUAACUCCCAGGCAGCGCGAGCUGACGGAAAGCGCACAGAAACACACCGCCUACCCGUCCGGCUGCGUUUUUUUCGCGGUCGGCGGCGGUAAGGGUGAGAUGGUGCGGUAAGAGCGCACCAGCGGUUGGGUGACCGACCGGCUGAGCAAGCCCCGCCCGGAGCAAGACCAAAUAGAGAGGCAAUGGCUCGUCCCGGGCCGCCUCCGGGUAGGUCGCUCGAGGCGGCGGGUAACCGCCGUCCCAGAUGGAUGGCCGCCACCCGAUGCGCGACACAACUCGUGGCAUCGGGUACAGAACCCGGCUUACAGGCGGCCUGGCAUU